CCCCUAGAUGUUCUGGGCCGCACGCGCGCUACACUGAACAGUUCAACAAGUCUUAACCUUGGCCGAUAGGUCUGGGUAAUCUUUGAACGCUGUUCGUGAUUGGGAUAGACCUUUGCAAUUAUGGGUCUUCAACGAGGAAUUACUAGUAAACGCAAGUCAUCAGCUUGCAUUGAUUACGUCCCUGCCCUUUGUACACACCGCCCGUCGCACCUACCGAUUGAAUGGUCCGGUGAAAUCUCGGGACGGCGGCUUGGUCGCUUGCGUCCGACUGCUGAAACUUGAUUAAACCAUAUCAUUUAGAGGAAGGUGAANUCGUANCA
rnacentral:rRNA from 1 species